ACCUUUUUCAAAAUUCCAGAUUCCAAUUUCCAAAAUGAGAGUUGUGUAUAAAAUGAGCUGAUAUGGCUGGCAAAUCACAAGCCAUGCAUAACUCCAACAUCAAUAUCAGCAAGAGAGUAAUCAGUCAAGAAGAAAUCGCCCAUACCAAAUCGAACGGUUCAGCAUGACAAUGAAGAUUGUGCUUUUCGUACUGUUGGCUUGCUUUGCAAUAGUCAAUUGUCAAAGUUCUACUCAACUUAAUUGUGCAUUUCGAGAAGCACAACAAAAUCCAGCCCUAGGAUCCUGCGUUACCAUGUUUGGUUCCUUCGAGAGUCCUCAAGAACUAUGUGGACUGGCCUGCAUCGACGAUUUUGCAGCAAUUUACGACACAUGUAAUUUUUCACCGAACCCCGUAACUCAGCUUUGCGGUGGUGCUGCGUCUAUUGUUGCCGUUCCAAUGAUGGUGAUCACUGGAAUACUGGUGACUUUGGCCACAAUAUUUUGAACAGUCUUUAAACAGCCCCCAUGCAAGAGACUUUAUACGUACAUGCAUGCAUGUGCUUAGAUUUGGACACAACUGUGUAUAGUGCUAUAUAUAAAUAGAUAGAGUGACAUGCACAUGCAUGUACAAUGUCGUGUAUAUAAUUAUAUAGAUCGUCAGAGACGAUUUUGUGAUGAUGUGCAUGCAAUUGUCAAAUUGUAAUAACUAUAUUAUAA